UCACUUCUGAUCACAUGAUUGGAUCGGUUGUAUCCGAUGACUAGAAGCUUGAAGCAUCCCUCAUAAGAAGAGAUGCUACAAGUUCCAAGGGCAAAGGCCUAAUUGCAUGAGAAUAAUCACCGGUGAUAUCUUUGAUCUUGGCCUUCGGUCUUCAAUUUCAGUGUUUCUCUCGACUCUUUCCAUGUCUUACUCAAAUCCCUCAGGUUACAAGAGGAACAUCGAAGGUGAAGCGCCGAAGAAAAUUCGUUCCUGGGUAUAUCUUGACUGGUUUUCUUCGUUGGUCUUUCGUGGUGCACUAUGGGUAUACUUCUUUCGAUUCCAAUUUUUUCCUUUCUGCGAGAUUUGGAUCUGAAAAGGAGAGUUCCCGAUGAUACAAUGUUUCUGAAGGGCACGGUAAAC